GGAGUUGAAGAUUGUGGUGGUUGUGCAGGAAGAAUGGACUGUUUGGGCAGAGUAGGAACCACAGAUGGUGGUGGCUGAGGGGAUAUCGAAGAUGAUGUUGGAUGUAAAGGGGCAGAGAAAACAGACACAGUUGUUUUUGUUACUGGCAGA